rnacentral:rRNA from 1 species
ACACCGGCAGCUCUAGUGGUAGCAGUUUUUAUUGGGCCUAAAGCGUCCGUAGCCGGUUUAAUAAGUCUCUGGUGAAAUCCUGUAGCUUAACUGUGGGAAUUGCUGGAGAUACUAUUAGACUUGAGACCGGGAGAGGUUAGAGGUACUCCCAGGGUAGAGGUGAAAUUCUGUAAUCCUGGGAGGACCGCCUGUUGCGAAGGCGUCUAACUGGAACGGUUCUGACGGUGAGGGACGAAAGUUAGGGGCGCGAACCGGAUUAGAUACCCGGGUAGUCCUAACUGUAAACGAUGCGGACUUGGUGUUGGGGUGGCUUUGAGCUGUUCCAGUGCCGAAGGGGAGCUGUUAAGUCCGCCGCCUGGGAAGUACGGUCGCAAGACUGAAACUCAAAGGAAUUGACGGGG